ACCGUGUUUGAUUCUUUUUUAUCUCUUACUACCAACAAAUGCUUAAUAUUCUUGUUGCUUUUUAUAACCUUUGGCAUUUACAUGAGUGCCUGGAAAACGAGGCCCUUUAGAAAUGUUGGAUCUGGUGAGCGUGCGUGGUUUUAAAAGCCAAGUGAGAAAGUUUUGGGUUUGGUUCUGUGUGCAGCGAGGAGCCUUCAAAACGUUGUGAAAAAGGAAGUUUGUGAUCAGAGCUGUGCUUUCUGAAGAUAACAUAAGCAACCAUAUGGAGAUCAAAUUAGAGAGAGGAAAAGCCCAGGGCAAAGAGAUCUGUUAGCAGUUGUCACAAAAACCUAGGUGAGGGAGGCAGAGCCUGGGCUGAGGGGGCAGUGGCCAUGGGAGUAGAAGGAGACAAAUAAACUCAAUUAGAUUUGGCCACAGUUUGACGUAGAGAAUGCAGAAGAUGGACGUGAGGGGCCUGGGGUCACAGUUACCUAUCAAACUCAGGGUCCUUAAAAACCUUUCAACAAUUUGCUACUUCUGUUUAAUCUAUCCCUCACUGGUGAAGUCCAGCAUAAAAUGUUAGUCUUUACAGGCAAAAGCUGGACAAAGCCAACAGCUUGAGAUUAUCCCCAGAUUAUCGUGGUUGAAGAAAACUUUCCAGGAGCCUUGAAUGCAGGAGCCAUUCAUAGAGAAGAGGAAGGGCUCCAGAGGAUGAGUUAGGGGUUAGUUAACACAGUGACUCUUGUCAGAUUUGUCAGGUGAGGGCUAAAAGUGUCAGCUAUGCCUCAGACAGUUUGCUUAAUGAUUUGGAGGGGCCUUCCACGUGACAAGUUCACACAGCUGGAUUUAAAAUAUUUAAGGCAUUUCUUUCAAGCAUUUGCCUAGCUGGGGGUUGUGAUGAGGAGGAGGACUAUGGUGUUCGCUUUUCGGGAAUCCUACUUCUUUCUUGACUUGAAAAAUGUUGUAUGAAAUCAAUAAAAUGUGCGUAACAAUACAUUGUUUUCCCCGAGUGAGGAAAUAAUUUGGCUGCUGUCCAGCAUUGUGCUUAUAUGAACUGAAAGAAAACAUUCACAGCAAGUAUGUACUGUAGGUAGUCAGGUUGAGAAGGGCUUCCAACAUCAUAAAUAUAAAGAAACCCAUGGCUUUACCAAGGAUUUCACAUUUGUUCACGAAGUGAUAAAAUUUCAAGAAAGCAUCUUCUGACAGCCUUUGAAGAUCAUGUAGAAUAAUUUGGUUCCCACAGGUGACUACUGUUUAAAGAAAUUGCCACGAGUGUCAACAGCAGAGGCAUCAAAACAGUACCGAUUACCUAUGGACAGUCAGAAUCCAGUGAUGUCAGAACAGAGGAGGUGAUGCCAAUGCUGCUGGUCUGAAGACCACACUUUGAGAAGCAGUUUCCACCGCUUGGAGAAGCAGUGGCAUAGCGUGAUAGGCGUGUGACCCGUUUUGAUCAGUAAGCUAUAAGGACACCUGGGAAAGCUGGUCCUUCCCGAUAAGCAGCCAUCAGAAGCAACAAAAUACCGACACCCUUCAAAAAUCUCCAUUUUUGUUUCAACUGAACGUACGCGUCGUGUCGGGCUACAACGUAAGCGCUUUGCUGGCGGAUAUUCAACUGGCAUGUCAUGGCGAUUCCAAUCUUGACAGCUCUUUCAAGGGGGAGGAUUAACUCUACGUCCUCCAUUCUAUCACCGCUUACCUGGGCUAGUGACUCAUAGAUCUGCUUAGGGCCUGUGACUCCCUAACAGGGCACCAAGAAUCCCUCGUGGGCUGGCGCUGACUUCUGGGGCCCUUCUACCCGGCAGAGGCCCCCCAGAAGCAGCUGACAGUUUGCUCUACAGAUUUAUUUUCCAAAAGAUACUCGGCCUGCCACUGACACAGCUGCUCUGGGUUCUGACCUUUCACAAGAACCCUUAGGAGUUUUUCAAAGGAAGGGAGAAUUAAACGGCACACUUCAAACCUAUAUGAAUGAUGUGCUUGCAGCACUAAAGAGAAAAGGAAGGAAAGAACUCUCCAGAAGUGGCGUUUUUCCUUACACUUCAGCUUGUUUGCUAUUUCUAUUGAUUCUCGUGAACUGGCUGUCCCAGUCGCGCAUGUAGAUACCAGCACAGAGAAGCCUGCCAACACGCUGAGCACUUCUUGUGUUGGAGUUCGCGGAAGCAAAUCUUUGCACAUAUAUAGAUGCAUACGCUUUAAAGGAGAUUCUAUGACUCGCGUUAGAAAAGGAAGCCGACCGUAAAAGCUUGACUAAGGGGAGAGAAGCCAGCAGUGUGUUCUUGGGUCACAGACUUAUCAUCCCUGUUGUUAGACUAAAAGAGCGAAGCCUGUCAUAGACCCAGAGGGAUGUGGUGGCAUCCUGGAGGGAUAGGAGGACCAUAAAUUUGUGUCCACGGGAUGCUUUAUCCAAUAAUCUCUAAAUACUAGUUAUUAAAAUGGAACUAUGCCCACCUGACAUUCUGAUUUAUAGGUCUCUUUUACACACUGAUGGUUUUCUCCAAUUUGUGUUUCUGAGGUAUAGAUUGCCAAGUGGAUAAAGCCAUUGAUUAGAACUGCACCCCUAAGGCAGCUGUCGGUAGAAUCAGCAAGUCAUAAGAAUAAAAUGCAUUAGUUAUAAUCCCUGAGCAGUCUUUCACAUUGUGGAGGAUUUAAAAGUUUCAUUAUUUUUCAGUGUUACCAAGGGUUCAAUUCUUUUUUAAGAUCACACCGGUUAGGUAUUCUUUGCUACCCACAAAAAAAAAAAAGCAAAAAAACACCAAACAAAAACCAAAACAAAACAAA